rnacentral:lncRNA from 1 species
UUUUGUUUGCCGCGCGGCGGAUUCUCUCACGGACGCUCGGAAGACUCCGAGGAGGAGCCAGGUUUGAUCUUUAAAAAAACGUAUCCCGUGAGUUUGUUGUGGGGUGGUAGCCGUUGAGUGGCCCCCUUUCAUCGCGAUCAGUUAGAACCCCAGGCUGCUUAAUAGACCCCAACAGGGGCGAGCGUGUCCGCGGUUACGCCCUUGAGGGUAAUGCAACAAAACCUUGGGCAGUAAGAGUGGGGCUUGGGCCCGUUUCGGGGGUCGGGGUGAGGACGGCCGAUGCUUAUUCUCCACCUCUGCUAACUGCGGACUCUCAGCCAGUGACCUCACUUCCUUCUUAGUGGACAUCAUCACUUAGCUGUGUGUUUAACCUCAGUCAAGCUCUCAACGUCAUCAGAUCCAGAUAGACCAGGAAGAGAAAAGAGCAGAGUUCACUGUAAGCUAACAAGUGCAUAAGAAUGUACCUUUCUGCAAGUAGUGAUACAGGGCUUUAUUCAUGGCCAGGUGUGUGUAAUGGGGGGGGAAAAAGGAUUUUAGGAUUGUAUUUCAUUAUAAAGUCCCGCGUAUGAUCUUCAGCCGGAGAUAGGUCUAGGUUCCUAGAACUUGGAGUCAGUCCUCUGCAACAUCAUUGUCUUCCUGUACUCGGCGUCAGUUCAGUUCUCGGUGUGUGUGAGAAAGUGGUGCUAAGGCUGUUUAUUGUGAGCUUCUGGCUUCCUUCAGCCCGUGGAGUAAUCCUGGAGAAGGUAAAACUCCCUGAAAAUCCUGGCCUUGGGUGUGUCAUGUGCCCUUCUGACCAUCUGUCAGGCCAAGGUCUUAAUUCCCCACCGUCACCUAACCUGUGUGGAGUGUUGUGGGAGAGAGAUGUCCAAAAGGAAAAAGAACUACCACCUUGGCACGGUGAUGAGGGACUGACAAGAGACUCUUCUGCUGCCAGUGAGUGGCUGCUUCUGUCACCUUCCAUCCCCUAGGAGAGUCACGAAAGAUACUGCUGUUCCGAUUGAGGCAGACGAGGAGCAGAUAGGGCAGCAGAUAGUGAAUCAUAAGUAUGGUGUUAUAUGCUUAACAGCAAGUUUGAGGCAGGAGAUGCAGCCUAGUGAUAGAAUACUUGCCUACUCCUCGAGAGGCUCUAGGUUUAAUUUCCAAUGCUGAAAGAAAAAAACAGAAGUUAAAGCUGAUCAUAGUGUUGGAUGCCUUGAACGUCAGCACUUGGGAAGCAGAGGCAGAAGGAUCUUUGAGUUUGAGGUCAGCCUGGUUUACACAGGACAUAGGCACUGAGACCUUGUCUCAAAAAAAAAAAAAAAAGUUAAAAGCAAGUAUGAGAAAGAAUUUCCUCCUGUGGUUGACUAGGCAGAAUUUUUUAAAAAAUAAGUUUAUGUAACCCCAGCUCUCCUGGACUUCUCUCUGUAGACAAGGCUGGCCUUGAACUCACAAAGAUAUGCCUGUCUCUGCCUCCCAAGUGCCAGGAUUGAAAAUGUGCACUAAACUAUUUUUUUAAGACAGGAUCUUC